ACUGUGUUUGGCAUCGCAGUUCCGACGGCAGCCGCCGUUUCGCGACCCACGGCGGACUUGCAUAAACACUUUCUAGUUGGAAUCUCACCCUGUGAGGUGGGCAAGGUAGUGAUAUUCCUGUUUGACGCCGACAGAAAUAAGAGAGAUUGACUCUCAGAACCAUGUGGCGGGAUUUUAAAGGAGGAUCUUAACAGUGGCUCGGACAGACCCGUGUUUUCUGCUCCUAGCAUUAACUACGUCGUUAAACCCUUCUGAAUUUAUUUCGUCUGUGAAAUGGGGAAAAGAUAGCCACCUUGCAUAACUGGUGAAGAAUUCGUAAACUGACAGCAGAAUCUAGUAAGAGGACUGGCCCGUGGUCGGCUCUUAAUGGUGUCACAGAAUAAAGAAAAAGACUGGGAGAGAGAUGGGAGCUGAUAGACCAGAGGAGACCAAAGACUGAAACUGAAGACUAAACCAUGGAAAUUGGGAACAAGCACUUACUCGCUUAGAGGGUGAAAAAAGUGAAUUUGCCUACAGGGCCAAUUUGGAAGCACCUCUCCCUGGAAGCCAGUCAAUGAAGAGCCAUUGGAGGAUUUUAAAUAAGGAACCGAAAAAUGGAGUCUGAAAAUAGAGGCGCAGAGACCGGUCAACCACAAUGAAGAACAAGCCAUUUUGACCUCCAUCCUGGCUCAUCUCCUCUGUGUUCUCAUAGCAUCAUAUUAUAGAAUGGAUCACAAA
rnacentral:lncRNA from 10 species